CAUUGCUUCCAAAUCUCCAUAGAGAGAUGACAUCAGUGGCCUUGACAUACUGUGUUUGCCUGGUUUUGUGGCCUGGGGGUGGGGGUGAGGGGCAAAACACACUCACAGGGAUUUAAACAGCUUACGGAGCAGCGAGUCAUGGAGUCUCUGCUUUAGUGUUUCUCUCUCACACACACUGAACUCUAUAAACACACACAUGCUCUGCAAUAUAGCAUUGCAUCACAAGGCUUCUCCUUUCCUCCAGAUUCUGACCAAAGGAGGAGUGGGGGGAGAAAAACAUCAGGGAAUUAUGUAAAGACAUUGAGGCACCCUUUGUGUUGUCUUCAUCCCUCAUAGGGCACAUCAGAUGAGAUGAGACUGAGGCAAUCUCUUUGCAAAGAAAUGGCUUGUUCACAGAUGCAGAUUCAGUCAUUUCAGGAUCCCUCAAAUACUGAGAAGAAGUGACGUCAGUGUGGCCAUGUCCCAUUAACCAAAAGUGAAUGAUAAUUAGACUUAUAUUGAUUUUCCAUGUUGUUAACAAGACUUUGAUUAAACUGUUUUACGUUUACAGAACUCAGCCUACUGUAUGUGCCAUGUGAUAUCUGUUAAAAGCCCCAUGAAAUAUCAAAAUAGCUGUUGAUUUGAUUCUUAUGUUGAUAUAUUUCCUUCUGAAACAGAAAGUCAGCGACAUUGUGUCAAAUACUUCACUUAUUUACACAACAACCAACAGAAUUCAAGAUGUACCACAUCCCCACCAAAUCUAAACAAACCUGACAGCAGCUUAGUGAGCUAGCUAGAUGUAGAGCAGUGGUUCUCAAACUUUUUCAGCAUGAGGCCCCUCUUGUGUAGACUGCAUCCCUUUGUGUCCCCCUAGAGUCGUCAAAUUUUCACAAUUGAGUUUUUCAUGCUAGGCUGUUCUGUAUUAUUCAUUUUAAAUAGUCUUAGGUUUUAUCAGCAUGUGGCUAAGAGUACUGUACACUAGUACUGUCACGAUUUCCCCUCAUGCCAAGCGUUGGAGCAAGCAGGUUUUUCGGAUUUUCAGUGACAUUGACUUUGUUUACUUUCAACACGUGCAUCUGUUAUGGUUUAUGUCCUGUCUCCGCCCCUGUAUUGUCACUGGUUGUUUCCUUCUGUGUCAUCAUUAGUCUCAGAUGUUUUGUGUUCACCCUUGAUUACGUUCGUCAUUUAAACCCCUCGUCUCUCUUUGUACUUUGUGAAGUAUUACGUGAGUUUUCCAUAUACCAAGCAUUUGUUCCUUGUUUAAUGUGUUAUAGUUUUGAUAUUGUUUUCACCCUCAUUCUUCAAUUUUGUUUAGUCUCGUUUAUGCCCGUUUGCCGAUCACGUGACCCGUUGCCUGUUUUUGACCAUGCUAUUGUCUCACGAUUUGGAUUUGUCUAUCACUACUCUAAUAAGGCUCUUAUCUGCAUCUGCAUCCGUCCUAACCUCCAUCACAUUAAAUUACGUGAUAAGUAUAUAAACAGAUGUCUAUAACAGUCUGGUGUGUGUUUGGUGUGCGUCUU